rnacentral:rRNA from 1 species
UCCAGACUCCUACGGGAGGCAGCAGUGAGGAAUAUUGGUCAAUGGGCGGGAGCCUGAACCAGCCAUGCCGCGUGAAGGCGAGUGCCCUACGGGCGUUAAACUUCUUUUGUGCGGGAGCAAUAAGGGCCACGCGUGGCCCGAUGAGAGUACCGCACGAAUAAGCAUCGGCUAACUCCGUGCCAGCAGCCGCGGUAAUACGGGGGAUGCGAGCGUUAUCCGGAUUUAUUGGGUGUAAAGGGCGUGUAGGCGGGGACGCAAGUCAGAUGUGAAAACCACGGGCCCAACCUGUGGCCUGCAUUUGAAACUGUGUUUCUUGAGUACUGGAGAGGCAGACGGAAUUCCUAGUGUAGCGGUGAAAUGCGUAGAUAUUAGGAGGAACGCCAGUGGCGAAGGCGGUCUGCUGGACAGCAACUGACGCUGAGGCGCGAAAGCGUGGGGAGCAAACAGGAUUAGAUACCCGUACG